CCUACGGGAGGCAGCAGUGGGGAAUUUUGGACAAUGGGCGCAAGCCUGAUCCAGCAAUGCCGCGUGAGUGAAGAAGGCCUUCGGGUUGUAAAGCUCUUUUGUCAGGGAAGAAACGGCCGUGGUGAAUACCCAUGGUUAAUGACGGUACCUGAAGAAUAAGCACCGGCUAACUACGUGCCAGCAGCCACGGUAAUACGUAGGGUGCAAGCGUUAAUCGGAAUUACUGGGCGUAAAGCGUGCGCAGGCGGUUUUGUAAGUCUGAUGUGAAAUCCCCGGGCUCAACCUGGGAAUUGCAUUGGAGACUGCAAGGCUAGAAUCUGGCAGAGGGGGGUAGAAUUCCACGUGUAGCAGUGAAAUGCGUAGAGAUGUGGAGGAACACCGAUGGCGAAGGCAGCCCCCUGGGUCAAGAUUGACGCUCAUGCACGAAAGCGUGGGGAGCAAACAGGAUUAGAUACCCUGGUAGUCCACGCCCUAAACGAUGUCUACUAGUUGUCGGGUUUUAAUUAACUUGGUAACGCAGCUAACGCGUGAAGUAGACCGCCUGGGGAGUACGGUCGCAAGAUUAAAACUCAAAGGAAUUGACGG
rnacentral:rRNA from 1 species